GACGAACGCUGGCGGCGUGCUUAACACAUGCAAGUCGAACGCUGAAGCUCAGCCUUUGUUGGGUGGAUGAGUGGCGAACGGGUGAGUAACACGUGAGUAACCUGCCCCCUUCUUUGGGAUAACGCCCGGAAACGGGUGCUAAUACUGGAUAUUCACUGGUCUUCGCAUGGGGGUUGGUGGAAAGGGUUUUUCUGGUGGGGGAUGGGCUCGCGGCCUAUCAGCUUGUUGGUGGGGUGAUGGCCUACCAAGGCUUUGACGGGUAGCCGGCCUGAGAGGGUGACCGGUCACAUUGGGACUGAGAUACGGCCCAGACUCCUACGGGAGGCAGCAGUGGGGAAUAUUGCACAAUGGGCGCAAGCCUGAUGCAGCGACGCCGCGUGAGGGAUGGAGGCCUUCGGGUUGUGAACCUCUUUCGCUCAUGGUCAAGCCGCAACAAUGGUUGUGGUGAGGGUAGUGGGUAAAGAAGCGCCGGCUAACUACGUG
rnacentral:rRNA from 1 species